rnacentral:rRNA from 1 species
UUCGUAGGUGGCUUACUAAGUCAAACGUGAAAUCCCUCAGCUUAACUGGGGAACUGCGUCUGAUACUGGAAAGCUUGAGUGCAGGAGAGGAACGCGGAAUUCCAGGUGUAGCGGUGAAAUGCGUAGAUAUCUGGAGGAACACCGGUGGCGAAGGCGGCGUUCUGGACUGCAACUGACACUGAUGAACGAAAGCCAGGGAGCAAACG